GUGUUAGCUUGCUUUCUGUUUACACUGUGGAAUAUCAUCUUGCCUCUGGUUUGUCUUGUGUGCUAACUGUUUCUCUUUUUAAGCGAGUAUACUACGAUCCAUCGAGCAACCUUGGUUACCACAGCGAGCAGGAUGCAGUUCAUGGCCUGACCUGAUGGUAGAGCGGAGAAUGGGAAGUGGGGACCUGACAAGAGCUGAGAUGAUAGAGCUGGAUAAAGAAGGACGCGGUCUCUUGACAUGUCUUCACCACAAAAUUUCAAAUGCUAUUAGAUUAUUAAUGAUAAUCUUAAACUAUAAUUUAUUUUAUUAUUAAGUUUAUUUAUUUUAUUUAGCCUUGUUGUGCAAGCUCUCUGGAGCUUGUGCAGAGGCAGCAGCUUUUGCCAGAGGGGAACUGGAAUCCCCUGGUUGGGCCUGGGUUCUCCUGAGGUUUUUUUUCUCGAUUAGAGUUUUGGGUUCCUCGCCACCGUUUGCAUACUGUUUUUGCACUAUCUGCCUGACCGGGGGGGCUGCUUUAGAAUCUUAAAGUUUUACUUAAUUAAUAUUGCAUAUAGGAAUUUAUUAUCUGUUAUAUUUGACCUGUGCUUCUCUCUCCUUUAUCCUAAAUGUGUGCUCUCACUGAGCGUGUGUGUGUGUGCGUACUUGUCUGUGUACGUACGUGUGUGUGUGUGUGUGUGUGUGUGUGUGUGUCUCUGUGUCUGUGUGUGUUGGUGCGUGUUGUGUGUGUGGAGUGUUUUGUGUGUGGGUGUGUCUGUCUUCUGUGUUUUCAACCUUUUCUUGUUUUUGCAGGUACAACUUUGAUUGUUUUGCUUGUAGUCAAUGUGUCUCCUGUACAGCUGCUUUGUAACAAUGAAAAUUGUAAAAGCGCUAUAUAAAUAAAGUUGAGUUGAGAGUUGA